UACGUAGGGCGCAAGCGUUGUCCGGAAUUAUUGGGCGUAAAGAGCUCGUAGGCGGUUUGUCGCGUCUGCUGUGAAACUCGAGGCUCAACCUCGGGCUUGCAGUGGGUACGGGCAGACUAGAGUGCGGUAGGGGUGACUGGAAUUCCUGGUGUAGCGGUGGAAUGCGCAGAUAUCAGGAGGAACACCGAUGGCGAAGGCAGGUCACUGGGCCGCAACUGACGCCUGGAGGAGCGAAAGACAUGGGGAGCGAACAGG
rnacentral:rRNA from 1 species